GACGAACGCUGGCGGCGUGCUUAACACAUGCAAGUCGAACGGAAAGGCCCUGCUUUUGUGGGGUGCUCGAGUGGCGAACGGGUGAGUAACACGUGAGUAACCUGCCCUUGACUUUGGGAUAACUUCAGGAAACUGGGGCUAAUACCGGAUAGGAGCUCCUGCUGCAUGGUGGGGGUUGGAAAGUUUCGGCGGUUGGGGAUGGACUCGCGGCUUAUCAGCUUGUUGGUGGGGUAGUGGCUUCCCAAGGCUUUGAUGGGUAGCCGGCCUGAGAGGGUGACCGGCCCCAUUGGUCUUGAGCGACGGCCCGGCCCCCCCCCGUCGGCAGCCGCGCGGACUCUUGCACACGGGCCGGACGUCGUCUGCAGCCUCCCCGCGGUCGGGAGUGGGGCUUUCGGGUGUGAAACCGUGUACCCCCGUCACGCCGCGUGCGGGACGGUGAUGGUUAAAGAAGCACCGGCUAACUACGUG
rnacentral:rRNA from 1 species